rnacentral:lncRNA from 1 species
CAAUCCACCUCCAGAUGGCUGAGUACCUUCAAAGGUGCUUCUGACAUAAAAGGUUAGACAGAUUUCUUACAUCCAAUCAAUUAUAUUGCCCUUGUAAAUAUGCAACCUGACUUUUGUUUGUUUUUUAGUCUGAAUGUCUAUAUUAGGAUGGGCUCUCCAGGAAAAAGAUUUUGAGUCUGAGAUUUGUGUGCAGGAUGUUCAUUAGGGAUAUACCCUGGCUCACCCAUGGGGGGUGAAGGACAUGAGACUGGGCACAGGGAAGAGGUGAAUUGGAUGCAAUCACAACAAAAAUCAUUCCAGAAAAGGGACUCAGCUGACAGCUAUCAGCCACCAACAUUUUGCAGUUGGAGGAAUAAAUAUCUCAGUCCUGAAGGGGAAUCCAGACAGCACCUCAUAGCAUUCAUUUCAACAGAACCACUACAAUGGAGACUUCUCGACUCCCUCUUUAAAUCAGCCAGUGUCAACAGAUUGAGGAAGAGGAGGAGCUGAAGUGCAGAGGGAGAAGAAGGAAUAGUUUCUGGGCUCACACCCAUAAUCCUACACUGUACACAGAAAAGGAACUGAACAAAUAUUCCAAAGAAAGAAAAGUAGUUGUUCCUGUAUUAUGCAAAUAGAGAAGAAGCUUUUUUAUAUUUCCCCAAGCUUUCCAAAGUGGCUGUUUAUUUUACCAUAAUAUUAUUUUCUUAACAAGUUGCUAAAUAAUUAGUAUUUCCAUUUCAUCCUCUAACUUAUGGAUGCUUUCUGGGUCCCCCUCUUCAUUUUUUAUUCCUCUUGAUUAUUUCUGAUAAGAAAUGAACAGAUCAAAACUAUAGCUGAGGUGACCAAACAUAUGUAUAUAAUCUAUCUGAUGAGGCUAUCAAAAAGCUCAAAUUUGGAGCAUGGUAAAACUAUUUUUUCAAAAAAAAAAUUAAACUAAACCACCAGUAAAAAUUUUUUUCUAAGACCACACAAUCAGUAGUUUAAGAGAAAAAAAAUGGUUUAUAUUUAAUUGGUCAUGAACUGAGUGAUGUGAUGAAAAGAAAGUGUUAAGAGGAAUAAAACCCCAAAGAUAAUAUUAUAAAGGCUUUCC